rfam:Citrobacter rodentium ICC168, complete genome
ACACCGUCGCUUAAAGCGGCGGCAUAACAAUAAUGAUGAAAUUCCUCUUUGACGGGCCAAUAGCGAUAUUGGCCAUUUUUUU